GAGAGAGAGUCCUACUUAUUUCUUAAAACAACAGCCAUUUUCCUUCUGAAUUAGCAUUAUUCUGUUUGGCUAUUAAAUUCACCUGUGAACCCACCUCCUGAGGACAUGAUAAAGGCACUGGUUAUUUUACUAAGGCUUUGACUGUAAUAGCAUUUCAAGAGAUGUCCAGAUUCCAUUAAAGGAUUAAGGUUGACUUUAUAAAGCCAAUAAAAAGCCCUUUGGAAAACUGGCCAGAUACCCAUCAGUAACAUUUCCUGAUCUGUGAAGUCAAGAAAAUAAUUCUCUG